UAUACACAAAUUGGAGGAAGUAGUUCUGACAUAAAAUUUGCAGUCAAAAUAGUACCAGUCUUCUUGCAAUACUUGUCACUGGAACCGAAUACAGCGACCAAGAGAAUGACAAAAGUGGCAAAAGUGUUGUACAAGCU